CAUCAUACUGCAAGGCCUCGAUGACAUCAUAAAGCAGGUGCCACCCACUCCCUGGAGCAUGCCUGGGGAGCUUGAUGAGUAUGGCGGGGAAGAAGAUCUGGGGGAGUUAACAUGUGGUGGUAGUUGAGAGCCCUUAAUUGGGAAGCAGGGAAUGAAGUCAGUCAUACCCAACUCAGAAGGGCUUUAUGUCUUUUCCAUGAGAUGAUGCACAUAAGUAGAUACUUUCUUCAGUGCCGCAUGGACUGAAUGUACAUACAUGGCCAUUAUUUUGGAUGAUGCUUAUCAAAAGUAAGGGCACAUGGUCUGGGCAACCCACCCCUAGCAGCUGGAGCUGCCCCUCUUCCCACAUUACCCAGGCCUGGAGAGGAGGAGAGCCACAGUGCUACCUGCUACAUGGGGUCCUAGAGGGCCACCUCCUAGGUUGGGCAUGGGUGGGGAUAUCAUGCUUGUGUCUCUGGAGACAGGUUUGGCCAGCUUUUCUUCUCUUGGAUGGGGAAAUAUACUUGUCAUGAUGGGACA